rnacentral:rRNA from 1 species
UACGUAGGUGACAAGCGUUGUCCGGAUUUACUGGCGUAAAGAGCGCGCAGGCGGUCGAUCAAGUCGAGUGUGAAAGCCCCCGGCUCAACUGGGGAGGGUCAUUCGAUACUGAUCGACUCGAAGGCAGGAGAGGGUAGUGGAAUUCCCGGUGUAGUGGUGAAAUGCGUAGAUAUCGGGAGGAACACCGGUGGCGAAGGCGGGCAC